GGCGUAAAGCGUGCGUAGGCGGCAAGGCAAGUUUGGCGUGAAAGCCCCGGGCCCAACCCGGGAACGGCGUCGAAAACUGCUUGGCUAGAGGACCGGAGAGGAGUCUGGAAUUCCCGGUGUAGCAGUGAAAUGCGUAGAUAUCGGGAGGAACACCAGUGGCGAAGGCGAGACUCUGGACGGUUCCUGACGCUGAGGACACGAAGGCCAGGGGAGCGAACGGGAUUAGAUACCCCGGUAGUCCUGGCAGUAAACGGUGCGCACUUGCUGUGGGCGGCUCGACCCCGUCCGUAGCGGAGCUAACGCGUUAAGUGCGCCGCCUGGGGAGUACGACCGCAAGGUUAAAACUCAAAGAAAUUGACGGGGGCCUGCACAAGCGGUGGAGCAUGUGGCUUAAUUCGAUGCAACGCGAAGAACCUUACCUGGGUUUGACAUGCUUGGUCGUCGCUUCCUGAAAGGGAAGCUUCAGUUCGGCUGGACCUUGCACAGGUGCUGCAUGGCUGUCGUCAGCUCGUGUCGUGAGAUGUUGGUUUAAGUACCGCAACGAGCGCAACCCCUGUGUCCUGUUGCCACCCGAUUGUUUUCGGAGCACUCGGGACAGACUGCCCCAUUUGAAUGGGGAGGAAGGUGGGGAUGACGUCAAGUCAGUAUGGCCCUUACACCCAGGGCUGCACACGUGCUACAAUGCCUGGCACAAUGGGAAGCGAAAUCGUGAGAUGGAGCAAAUCCCCAAAACCAGGCUCAGUUCGGAUUGGAGUCUGCAAUUCGACUCCAUGAAGCUGGAAUCGCUAGUAACGGCGCAUCAGCUACGGCGCCGUGAAUACGU
rnacentral:rRNA from 1 species